CCUGGUAACUGGCGCGCGCGGUUUCUAUCCAAUAAAAGAGCGCGUGAUGUGUUCGCAGUUAUGCGGUGGAACUGUUUUACCCAACAUCCCUACUUUUCAUGGGAUUAUUGCAUUAAUGUAGAAACUAAUUAUUGUGACUAACAUCACGGUCUUUUCCUUUGGGGUGACUAGUAAGCAGAUGUCGAGGUAAAUGGACCAAAAAAGCACAUUUCUUUUCUAUGGUGAUGAGUGGAUAUUUCUGGAGAAGUACCCAGCACAAAAUCUAUUUGCAUAAUCUUGAUCAGAUGUGAUAAUACGGUACCUGUUCUGAGAAAAACAUGAUAUUCACACCAUUCUUACACAACCUGCCUGCCUCUCACUGGUAAAAUCACAAUUGCCAGGUUUCUGUUCCAUUCAGUAUACGCUCAUGUGCUUUUGUACCAGGUGAGCCAAUACUGACAAAAAACUUUUGGUGUAACAAGCAAGAGGACAAUGGAGCAUCUGCUGUCUAUAAGGCUAAAAUUACAGGUUAUGAAAAGAGCCCCAUGGAUUUUUCAUGGGAUGGGGGGGGGGGGGGGGGGUAAAAGCAUUCCCUGACAAAGCCUGUAACCUCCCACAUAAUAAUAUUUACUUGUGUUGUUUGCUCUGUCUCUAUGCCUUUCACUUUAUUGUUGCUUUUUCUUUGUUAGACAAU